ACCAUAGUUCAGUGGCAGAGUAUCUGCUUUGCAUGCAGGAGGUCCCAGGUUCAAUCUCCAGGUAGGGGUG